ACAGCAGCCGCCGCGGUAAUACGUAGGGUGCGAGCGUUAAUCGGAAUUACUGGGCGUAAAGCGUGCGCAGGCGGUUUUGUAAGACAGAGGUGAAAUCCCCGGGCUCAACCUGGGAACUGCCUUUGUGACUGCAAGGCUAGAGUACGGCAGAGGGGGAUGGAAUUCCGCGUGUAGCAGUGAAAUGCGUAGAUAUGCGGAGGAACACCGAUGGCGAAGGCAAUCCCCUGGGCCUGUACUGACGCUCAUGCACGAAAGCGUGGGGAGCAAACAGGAUUAGAGACCCGCGUAGUCCCUGUCUCUUAUAC
rnacentral:rRNA from 1 species